rnacentral:rRNA from 1 species
AUUGAACGCUGGCGGCAUGCCUUACACAUGCAAGUCGAACGGCAGCACGGGAGCAAUCCUGGUGGCGAGUGGCGAACGGGUGAGUAAAGUAUCGGAGCGUGCCCAGUCGUGGGGGAUAACGUAGCGAAAGUUACGCUAAUACCGCAUACGAUCUAUGGAUGAAAGCGGGGGAUCGCAAGACCUCGCGCGAUUGGAGCGGCCGAUAUCAGAUUAGGUAGUUGGUGGGGUAAAGGCUCACCAAGCCGACGAUCUGUAGCUGGUCUGAGAGGACGACCAGCCACACUGGGACUGAGACACGGCCCAGACUCCUACGGGAGGCAGCAGUGGGGAAUUUUGGACAAUGGGCGCAAGCCUGAUCCAGCCAUGCCGCGUGCAGGAUGAAGGCCUUCGGGUUGUAAACUGCUUUUGUACGGAACGAAAAGGUUUGGCCUAAUAAGCUGAGCUCAUGACGGUACCGUAAGAAUAAGCACCGGCUAACUACGUGCCAGCAGCCGCAGUAA